rnacentral:rRNA from 1 species
GUGCCAGCCGCCGCGGUAAUACCGGCAGCUCGAGUGAUGGCCGAUUUUAUUGGGCCUAAAGCGUUCGUAGCCGGCCACACAAGUCCAUCGGGAAAUCCGCCAGCCCAACUGGCGGGCGUCCGGUGGAACCUGUGUGGCUUGGGACCGGAAGACCCGAAGGGUACGUCUUGGGUAGGAGUGAAAUCCUGUAAUCCUGGACGGACCGCCGAUGGCGAAAGCACUUUGGGAAGACGGAUCCGACGGUGAGGGACGAAAGCCAGGGUCUCGAACCGGAUUAGAAACCCGAGUAGUCC